AGGGUCUCAGGGGACCUGGAGCUGCCAGAAGUCUGGAAGAGCAUAAUGAGCGUUCCAGAAACAACCUUCCAUGUCUCAAAGGUAAUCAAUGGAGAAGCCAUGAUUUUCAUUUGGAUUUCAGCCAAAGCACUUGCCUUGUAAUUCAUCCUCUCAGAAAUUUUUGCUGCCUGCAGGCAGUAAACAGUCCUCAGAGGAAAAAGUGCUCAUGGAGGGAGAGGCAGGCUUGGAAGCUCACUGUGGAAACUCCAGAGUGCUAACAGUAGAGGCUGAAGAGUUACAAGGCACAGCUAAGACCACCUAAGAUGCUAUCUAGGAGCCCCACUACUGCAACAAAUUUUUGUUGUCGUGGCGAGUUUUAGAUACUAGUUUCUGAAGAGGAACUUGUACAGCGAAAAAUGUCCAGUAUAGAGAAAUUUCAGUGUAUUUUGCAUUUCAAAUGUCCUGUUUCUAUUUAAAAAGUGGGUAAUCUCCGGAAAUGUGUGUGAUAAAUAACCCAACAAUGACGACUCUCUCUCCCUGCCAAAUGCCACACUAACAAUGAAACCAUUGAUUUGCUCCUGGAAAAAAUAUGCUUUGUUCACCUGGACAAGAAACAAACUGACUACAAAAUGUAUUUUUACAUGACAGUGUUGGAAAAUCCAGUGAUUACUGCUCAAGGUCAAAACUUGUUAUAACAAGCUCUAAGAGAAUGCUGUCAGGGUUUGUGUGUCCUACAAUUUGGUUGUAUUGAACAUUGCUUUUAAUAUGCCAUUGCUAUUGGCCUGGGAAUCUUUCGCGGUAAUGGAAUUCAGCUUGUACUUCCUUUAGACUUCUUGAUUAUUCAUGCUAAAUAAAGAAGGCUAUUAAUUAUUCAAUUAAUCCCCCUCUGUGGGAAAAUGCUAUUUGGAUUCUUAUUAUGCAUUUUAGCUACCUAGUUAGACAUAAUUAGCCAAAUAAAUGAUAACUUUCUGUUUCCCAGGAAACUUUUAUGCAUAGUCUUAGUCUCAAGCAUAGAUUUCUAAAUAUACUAUUAUUUACAGCACAACUGCAAAAGUCAGAGUCUGGUAGGGCACUGAUCAUAAAAAGUGAGUGUGCGUGGAGACGCUCUUUAUAGACUAUAAAGGCUGAAAAGUCACCCACCUUUAUUUAUUCCCAGCCUUGGCCAAGCUUCCAUGUUUUUCCACCUACCCAAACAACCAGUAAUGCUACAAUAAUUUAGGAGGUGGUUAUAAAUCAUCUGUAACAUGUCCAAACUUUUGAUUCCUGGGUAAAUACUUGAACUGGGUGUCUGUUGCUCACCAUUUCACAAUGCUCAGGUUCUGCCUCUCUGGGGGCUCUGAUAGUUUCUCCAAGGUGUAAUCUCACCCCUGCACACACCUCUUCUUUCUUGCCUUUGGGUGUGAUGGAGGCUGCCAUGCAGCAUGCAUGGAGCACAUUCUGAUAUUUGUAUCUGUAUGAUCAUAACAUAGGGGUUCGGCCACCAAUUCCCUGGAGAAGACAGUUCUGUGGCAUAUUUCAAAUGGCUUUUCAGAAGAUCUGGGCUGGACAGAGCAUCGUCUGCCUGCCGUGGUGCCCCAGUGGACAACACCUUCUUAAUGCAACCUUCUUUGCUUCCCUGUUCUAUGCCUUUGUCCCAC
ensembl:lncRNA